UUGAUAAAAUAGAGAAUUUAAGACUGAUCGGCCAUCAAGAACUUUGAAUCAACCAAACAGCUUAGGGGAUACAUCUCUGGAUUUUGAUGCCAGAAAAUACAAACCAAUUUCAAUAGGCUUUUUGGCACAAAACUUCUUCAAAUUAUCUCAUUAUGCAAUCUUAG